AUUAUCCGCCACUACGCCUUUACCGAUCCGAAUCCCACUGCUUCGAUUGUGUUCCAAGGAACGGUCGUCAACGUCCAGCCGUCUCCUGUGCUUGCAGCUUUUAGCUCGCGAGGACCUAAUCCCAUAACGCCAAACAUUCUCAAACCGGACUUGAUCGCUCCUGGAGUCAAUAUCCUCGCCGCGUGGACCGGAGCUGUGGGACCGUCCGGACUAGCUUCGGAUACUCGCCGCGUGGAAUUCAACAUCAUCUCAGGAACGUCCAUGUCUUGCCCUCACGUCAGCGGUUUAGCGGCUCUUCUCAAGUCUGUAUAUCCCGAAUGGAGCCCCGCGGCUAUUCGAUCGGCUCUCAUGACCACCGCUUAUAAUACAUACAAAGACGGAAACCCGAUCAUUGACAUCGCGACGGGGAUACCUUCAACGCCGUUCGAGCACGGUGCAGGACAUGUAUCGCCAACGACGGCCGUCAAUCCAGGACUCAUCUACGAUCUAACGACGGCCGAUUAUUUAGGUUUCCUCUGCGCAUUGAAAUAUAAUUCGUCGCUGAUCAGAAUCAUAUCGAGAGGCAACUACACUUGCGACCCAAGCAAAACGUACUCCGUCGCUGAUCUAAACUAUCCGUCGUUUGCCGUUAACGUCGACGGGUCCAGCACGUACAAGUACACACGCACGGUCACAAACGUUGGAGGAGCUGGGUCAUACUCGGUUAAAGUAACGUCGGAGACAACAGCAGUCAAGAUUUCGGUUGAACCGGCGAUUUUGAAUUUUAAAGAAGUGAACGAGAAGAAAUCUUAUGAGGUAACGUUUACCGUUGACUCGUCUAAGCCGUCUGGGUCUAACAGCUUUGGGAGCAUUGAGUGGUCAGAUGGGAAACAUGUGGUGGCCAGUCCCGUGGCGAUUAGCUGGCCAUAGGUGGUCGAUUGUGACUAGCAGAUAUUGUAAUGCUACUUUCAUAAGAAUUCUGUUUCGGUUAAACGGCAUGCAGUCUGCUUUGUUGGUAAUUUAUCAUGCGACUUGAAUAUUUAAUGAAAACUAUAAAAAAGGGUUAAGACUAUUUUAGCUGGCUAGUGUGUUAUGACUAUUUCUAUUUACUAGGCUGUGGACAUUUAUACUGACAUUUAUUAAAUUAGUUUAUGAGAUACGAAAUAUACUAGGCAUGCAAUACUAGUUCAUGAUUAAUUAAUGGCCAAUCUUCUCUUUUUUUUUGCUGAAAUUAAUGGUCAAUCUUGAUUCACGUUGCAUGAAUGUGAACCACUCUACGUAGGAAACUCUCAGCAAUCAACUACCUCCAGUGUAUCAUAACAAUGUGAUUACGAUAAGUAUAAAAAUAUGAAUCUAAUAAGGUUGAAAAGACUCUAAUUAAGAUCUAAUGAUAACCAACACGAGGUUUCUAUUUGAAGAACCAACGACAAGAAGUUUAUCAAUAUGAGGUAAUAAGGAGAUCCAUUGAAAUACUUAUCUUCAAACAAACUGUUAAAAUGUAUGGCUUUUGUUAAUAGUAAACUCACCUCUUUCCAUAAAUUACACAAAUUUGCAGAUAAAAAAAUCCAGAAGAAAAGAAAACAUAAAAAUUCAUAUCCCCUAUAUAUUAAAAGAGAAACACUACAACAUAUUUUUGUAGCCACAUGUCAUCACCACAAUCAUUCUAAAAAUCCUUAGAAAAAUAUGUUGGUCCAUAUAAAUAUAUAAUAAGUUUUUUUAUUAAACUAACCAUAAAUUAAUCAUAAAUGUUUUUCAUUGUUUCCUUAAAUAAAAAUCACGGAAUUACCUAAUGUGGCUAAAGUAUAUAUGAUAAUUAAUGAUUUUGAAUAAUAAAGAUUUGAUAAAAAUCAGUCUAUUCUCUAUCAUUUUUAAUUCAUUUUAAAAUAAAUUAAAUAACCACAUUAACUAUAUAAUAAAAAUUUAGAUUUUGCCGUAUAUGUUAUAUUUUGAAUUUUAAAAAACGAAUAUAAAUGACUAAAGUUGUUAAAAAUCUCACACUGAAAUUUUUGUGAUCCAUGGUUUAAAAUUUAUGUUAUAACAAGAUACAAAUGAUUACGAAAUUACAUAAGUAAGAAGUCUCAUUUAAUAAAUAUCAGAUAUAUGCAUAUUAAUAUUUUUUAAAAAUAAAUUAUAUACCAUAUAAAAUACAUAAGUAUUUUAAUUUCGAAUUUUAUUUGAAAUUUUUUGAUAAACAUUUUGAACAAUUAUUGACAACUUAAUAUUUAGAUUUUAAACUUUGCAUUGAAUGUUUUUAAAAUUAUAAAUUACUAAAAGUAUUAAACAUCCCAUAAAUUUUUUAUUGUUAUCAUUGAUUUAAAAUUUUUGUUAUAAGAAAAAUACAAACGAUCAAAAAUAAUAUGAGUAUAAAAUAUUUUUUAACGGAUGUAAAUAUUAAAAAUGUACUAUAUAUCUAUGUUAAUAUCAUUUAAACUUAAUUUUAUAACAUAUAAAAUAGAAAAAAAUAUUUGUCUGGAUAAAAAAAAUUAUUUAAGUAUUUGUACCAAUUUAGUUAUAUACGUAAUAGUUACUAAAUUUUUAAUUAUUCAAUAUGUAUAUAUUAUUUUAUAAUAUGUAAAAAAAUAUAUAAUACUUAAAAAUGAUUUAUAUAUAAUAUUCAUCCCGUGUAAUGCGCGGAUCUUAACCUAGUUUUAAUAUUAUUUAAGCUUAUUUAAAACAUAUAUAUGUAUAUUUAAAUAAACGAUUUUAAUCAAACUGAAAAAUCUAUAAUAAGUAAGUCACUUAAGUUCUCGACUUAUAAUUUGAAACAAAAAUAAAUUCAUUUUGUGUUAAUUGUCAAAUUAUUUCUAUUCCAUCGAAAGUCAACAGUUAAAUAUAACUAACAUUGUUGACUUUUUGUUGUAUAAAAAUUGUUUGCUUAAUGAGUUAUAUUCGUGUUUAAACGAAAUUAAUGAAUAAAAUGAUGCGUAUAUGCGUUGAAGUUAUUUUGAUUUAAAUUUGAAACUUGAGUACUAUUUUGUUAAUUUCUCUCUAAGAUAAGAGAUAAAAAAAAGUAUAGAUUUUACUAUGAAUAAAUAGACGAUCUUCAUCACGAGUUACUACACAAAGUAUAUAUUUACUUCAUUGCCAGAAGCCGUAACUGAAGGGAAUCAGUAGACAGUAGUAGUAAUGAUGCAAAGUGCAUCAGCUGCAAAGAAGAACUGGAAGAAACGAAGUGUGCGCCCAAGUAAAGUUGCAGGCCUCCUCACAUGUGGCUGAUUAUCUACUUGUGUAGCUGUAGCAGCUGGAGGAGGAUCUUCCACGGGAUGAACCGAUGCAUGACUCACACUCAUUUCCUUCUCUUAUUAAAUAAUAUUGAUACUUCCCCCUUUCGAAUCUUCUCAUACUUCAGAUCUAAUCUGAACUUCUUAUAAGGUUAAAAGUUUUCAACUAGUAGUUUCGUUCAGAGUGAGAAAUGAGAUCCAAUUAAAUUUUCUUGUGUUGUAACAAGUCUCGACCGUAUACAAUCUUUUAAGUUUCAAACAAGUCACAGUAUAUACCGAGUUAAAGUACAAACAGAAACAGAGAAUCUCAAUAUAAAAUUAAUAGCGCAAUAAUAUCUCAAGAUAAUACUUAAGUCUAGUAAUUACUGUAAUUGGAUGUUACGCAUUGCGGAUGGAAGAAUGCAAAUAGGUGGGGGCACAUAUAUAUAAAAUAUUUUUCAGUUGGGGGCAUUUCAUAGAAAGCAUAAGAAUUACUGAAGAAAAUUUUAAAAUGAGAUGAGGGCACGUGACCCCAUACCCUUGGCUGUACGUCCGCCCCUGGGCAUAGGUAAACUUAAGUGAACAAAAGUUUUCAAUUUAUAUCAUAUUGGUUUUCUAAUCCCUCAAGGCAUGAGAAUUCUAUCAAACCCACAAGCCGUCAUUAUAGUCUGAAACAAGUUGCAGUAAAUAUCAUAGUUAAUGACGUUAAUACUAGACAGAAACAUAGAUUCUCAAGAUAAUAAAACAAUAAUAAUCUCGGAGAUAAUGCUAAUAAUUCGUAUAAUUGGAUAUACUAUUUCAUAUUGAACAUAGGAAAAAUUAUGGGAACAAGAGUCUUGAUUUUUUGUCUUGGGGAACAAAAAAGUCUACAAACAUUAAAAUUUACGAAAAAAACAAAAAUGAAUUCAGAGACAAAUCUCUGUCUGUCGAAUUCAGAGACAAAUCAAACAGAAAAAACUAAAGUGAUCACUUUCAAAGCAGAAUCUCACAUUCAAAUCAGAAUAGUGGACAGGAGAGUCUGAUACUAAUAUCUUAUCGCUCACUUCCUCGACUCCAUUUAAACUCUCUAACACCUUCACAUUUCCACACAAUUUAAAAAGAUGACAUAUUCGUUUCUUUCCUCCACUGCUCCCUUCUUUAUCGUUUUUCUGUAUCUCGGUUCCUGCCACGUCUCCAAUGGAGCUCAACAAGCUACUUACAUUGUUCACAUGGCUAAAUCUCAGAUGCCCUCGAGCUUCGAUCAACACUCUCUCUGGUACGAUUCCUCACUCCGCUCAGUCUCAGAAUCCGCUGCAAUGAUCUACACCUACAACAAUGCAAUACAUGGAUUCGCCACUCGGCUUACUCCCGAAGAAGCCGACUCCCUCAUGACCCAACCUGGUGUCAUCUCGGUUCGACAAGAGCAGCGGCACGAGUUACACACCACUCGGACUCCACUAUUCCUAGGUCUAGAUGUACACAACGGAGGCUUAUUCCCCGAAACCAGCACAUCUAGCAACCUUGUCAUCGGAGUUCUCGACUCAGGUGUUUGGCCAGAGAGCAAAAGCUUCUCCGACGAAGGAUACGGCCCCAUUCCGCCUACAUGGAAAGGCGGCUGCGACGCUGGGACUAGAUUCACCAUGUCGCUCUGUAACCGCAAACUAAUCGGAGCUAGAUUCUUCGUUCGGGGUUACGAAGCAAUUAAUGGGCCAGUGGACGAAUCCAAAGAGUCAAAAUCGCCUAGAGAUGACGACGGUCACGGAACACACACGGCGUCAACCGCAGCGGGAUCAGUGGUGGAAGGAGCUAAUCUUUUAGGGUUUGCUAAUGGAACGGCUCGUGGGAUUGCUUAUCGCGCUCGAGUGGCUGUUUACAAAGUUUGUUGGCAACCUGGUUGCUUCAGCUCAGAUAUUUUAGCUGGAAUCGAUAAAGCCAUCGAAGAUAAUGUCAACAUUCUGUCUAUAUCUCUCAGCGGUAUAACGACAUAUUAUACAGACGAUAUUGCCAUUGGAGCAUUUGCAGCCAUGGAAAGAGGGAUCUUUGUUUCUUGCUCGGCUGGUAAUUUUGGUCCCAGCCCUUUCAGUGUAACGAACAUAGCUCCGUGGAUUACUACUGUUGGUGCUGGUACAUUAGAUCGUGAUUUUCCCGCGCUCGCGAUUCUCGGAAAUGGGAAGAACUACACUGGAGUUUCGUUGUUUAAAGGUGAUGAUGAACUUCCGGCUAAAUUGUUGCCAUUUAUUUACGCGGGGAAUGCUAGUGAUGAUGCUAUUGGAUAUCUUUGUUUCCCCGGAACACUAAUUCCUGAGAAGGUAAAGGGGAAGAUCGUAAUGUGCGAUACAGGAGGAGUGGCUCCGGCUAUGAUAGGGGAGGUGGUGAAAAGUGCUGGUGGACUCGGAAUGAUUAUAGCGAAUUUGGCAGGGAGAGGAGAAGAAGUUCAGGCGGAGGCUCACUUUUUACCGGCGACCGCUGUGGGAGAGAAAGCCGGUGACAUUAUCCGCCGCUACGUCUUGACCGAUCCGAAUCCAACGGCUUCAAUUGUGAUCCAAGGCACUGUCGUCAACGUCAAGCCAUCUCCUGUGCUUGCAGCUUUUAGCUCGCGAGGACCUAAUCCCAUAACGCCAAACAUUCUCAAACCGGACUUGAUUGCUCCGGGAGUCAAUAUCCUCGCAGCAUGGACCGGAUCUCUGGGUCCCACCGGACUAGCUUCUGAUACUCGCCGCGUGGAAUUCAACAUCAUCUCAGGAACGUCCAUGUCUUGCCCUCACGUCAGCGGUUUAGCGGCUCUUCUCAAGUCUGUGCAUCCCGAAUGGAGCCCGGCGGCGAUUCGAUCGGCUCUCAUGACCACCGCUUACAAUACCUACAAAGACGGAAACCCGAUCAUUGACAUCUCGACGGGGAAACCUUCAACGCCGUUCGAGCACGGUGCAGGACAUGUAUCGCCAACGACCGCCGUCAAUCCAGGACUCAUCUACGAUCUAACGACGGUGGAUUAUUUAGAUUUCCUCUGCGCAUUAAAAUACAAUUCGUCGCAGAUCGGAGUCGUGUCGAGAGGCAAUUACACUUGCGACUCGAGCAAAACUUACUCCGUCGCUGAUCUAAACUAUCCGUCGUUUGCCGUUAACGUCGAGGGCUCCGACACGUACAAGUACACACGCACUGUCACGAGCGUGGGAGGAGCUGGGUCAUACUCGGUUAAAGUAACGUCGGAGACAACAGCAGUGAAGAUUUCAAUUGAACCGGCGGUUUUGAAUUUUAGAGAAGUGAACGAGAAGAAAUCGUAUUCAGUGACGUUUACAGUUGACUUGUCUAAGCCGUCAGGGUCUAACAGCUUCGGGAGCAUCGAGUGGUCAGAUGGGAAACACGUGGUGGCCAGUCCGGUGGCAAUUAGCUGGACAUAAGAGUCAAUUACAAAUACCUUGAGAAAGAAGAAAGUCACAGAUAUUGUAAUGCCGUUUUUCAUAAGAGCUCUGUUUAGCGAAAACAGCAUGCAGUCUGUUUUGUACGUAAUUUUUAUCACGAGACUUUUGUUAAAAGCAAUUUCACCUAUUGCACAAGUUCAUAAACAUGAGGUAAUAAAAUAUAUCAAUCGAAAUAAACCAAAUAAAUACCUAUCUUCAAACAAACUAUAAAAAUGUAUGGCUUUUGUUAAAAGCAAACUCACCUCUUUCCAGUACACAAAUUUGCAGAGAAAAAUCCAAAAAAAAAAAAAAGAGGAUAAAACAAAUUCAUGAAUAGUAACUCAAUUUUGAUCAACGUCCAAUUAAAACCCUGAUAUGUAAUUUUAUUUUCAGAAACCAAUCGUGGCAUUAUCACUCAGAGACUAAUACAAUGGACCAUUGGACCAACCUGCCAGCUUCUGAUGUUGCUAUAUUUUUAUUUUUAUAAAAAUUAAAACUAAUGUUAGAAGAGAGAAUGUAUCCCUGUAUUGUUAACUAUUGAUAUGAUUUAGUUAGUCUGAUCUGAUGUGAAGACAUGUUAAUUCAUACCAUACAAACCAAAGUCUCAAAUUGCCACCCACAUUAUUUGGAUCCCAACCGUCAAAAGCAUUGGUUAGUUGGUGUCUUCGACAAACUCAUUGAGAUCUUUGCAAAGUAGUUCGUUUCUUUGCUUCUGUCUUGUGAUGAGCCGUAAAGAUAUUAAUAGACUCACAACUUACAUAAACCCUAAACCCUGAUUUUAAAGUUGAGGAGGAUCAUGAACUUUAAAGAUAUUAAUAGACUCGUAACUUUGCUUCUGUUUUGUGAUAAGUUACAGCAUCUGGACGAGGAUCUUCCACCAAUGAACCGAUGCAUGGCUCACACUAAUUUGCUUCUAUUAUCUAAAACAAAUUUCGGGGAAAUAAAGCGAUGAGUAGAGCUUAUUGAUGAUUUUCCCUUUAGAAUCCUCUCACAUUUCAAAUUGUUAUAAGGUAAAAUUUUCUGGCUAGAUUCCAACUAGUAGUUUCGUUCAAAGGGAGAAAAUGAGAUCAAAUUAAAUCGUCUAAUAUUCACUUUGUUUUAAUGGUUUUUAUCCAACCUAUAAACCAUUUUUAUAGUCUCAAACAAGUCACAGUAAACAUCAAAAAGAACACAGGUAAACUUAUGUUCACAGUCACCUAUAAACUAUCUUUAUAGUCUCAAACAAGUCACAGCCAAUAUAUCCAGUAUAGUAAUCAGUGUGAUAUAUUAUUUGAUGUUGAACAUAGGUAAACUUCUCUGAACAAAAGUCUUUAUAUUUUGUCUUUGAACAGAAGUCUUCUAACAUUAAAAUUUACGAAAAGAACAAAAAUAAAUUUAGAGACAAAUCAAAACGGAAAGCAAAACUGAUCACUUUCAAAGCAGAAUAGUGGACAGAAGAGUCUAAGAGCACCUCCAGUGCUUUACAUAACAUAAGUACACCACCAAAUAAUCUUCUAGUUAGAAAUAUGAAUUAAAAGGCUAUAUUCACUUAGUCUUAGAUUUUUAUCAAAACAUAUAAACCAUUUUUAUAGAAACAGAGAAUCUUAAAAUAAUAAAACAAUAAUAAUCUCGAGCUAAUACUGAAAUAUAAUAAUCAGUGUAAUUGAAUAUAUAUUAUUUCAUGUUGAACAUAGGUCAACUUAUGUGAACAAAAGUCUUUUAGGUUUUGUCCUCUUUGAAGAUAAGUCUAUAAACCUUAAAAUUUACGGGAAAAGAAACAAAAUAUAAAUUUAGAGAGAAAUCAAAAUGUGUGUGUGGAAAACCAACAUAACAUACAAACAAAAUGUACUUUAAAGGAAAUUGGAUUUUAUACAACUACACCAAAUAUAAUCUUCUAGAGUGAUAUAUUAAAAGGCUAUAUUCACUUAGUGACUUAGUGUUAAUGUUUUUUGAACAUCAUAAAGGUCUUCUGAAUCCCUCAUGGCAUGAUGAUUUUAUCAAAACUAUAACCGAUCUUUAUCAUCUCAAACGAGUCACAGUAAAUAUCAGAAUUAAAGAGGUAAUACUAAACAAAAACAUAGAAUCUCAAGAAAAUAAACCAAUAAUUGUCUCGAGAUAAUACCAUAGUAUAGUAAAAAAAAAUUGAUAAUCCGGGGUAUCCAAAUCCGAAAGACUAACUAAUUUUUUGGGGUCGAUCCACCGGCCACAGACAAGCUCUUUUACUCUAUAUGAGAGUUACAUAUCCAAGCCGCCUAAAUAUAUGCAGAUGAAUAAAUUUAAAUGGUAGGUUUUGGACUCGGGAUGCUCAGCACGUUUUCGAACCUGUCGUAUCACUCGAUAAUAUAUGUAUGGUUAAUUAUAGUAAUUAGUGUAAGUGGAUAUAUUAUUAUUUCAUGUUGAACAUAGUUAAUAUCAUGUGAACAAAAGUCUUUAUUUUUUGUCUUGAUGAACAAAGUCUACGAAGAUUAAACAAAAGUAAAUUUUAGAGACAAGUCGAAAAGAAAAACGAAAGAGAUCACUUUUUUUUUUUGGUAAAAUUUAAUAUUUAUACCAUUUUUGAAUUUUUUACAUUGUUACUAGCAACUUAUUACACAAAAAAGAAAAGGAACAACAACAACACAGCUACAAUUUCAAAAAACCCGUUCAAGGCGGCUGAUAGGAAUCAAAGUAAAGAAGCAGCAGCGAGGGAACAGAAGGAGAUCUCGCAGGGCUGGAGCGCAGCCGAUCUCUAAUCAGGCGGUCAGUUGCAGCACGGAGGACCGGCAAUGGAGUUGAGACGGAGGUGAAAAUUCUUGCAUUUCUUUCUGAUGUAGCAUACAUUCCAUUACGAUUUAGCUUUGGCUUUCCUUAUUUCUUGUCUUGCAAGUUUACUUAUUCUUUUAGGAUAAUUUCCUUUUCUUAUUCGAUAAAGGAUAUGUUAUAAAUCCUUUAUCUCGUUGGCUUUGGUGUUUUCGUUUUAUAUAUAAGUUGAUGCCUUGACAUUGUAAGGGAACAACUUCUUUGCAUUAAUAUAAUUUCAGAGCUUUUAUAAACUCUAACCCUUGUUCUCGGAUAGAGCUUCGCCUCUCAACGAUCUCAAGAAGGCACGUUACCUAGGAAUUCUCAGAAUCAAUAGGUUUCUUGCGCUAUACGUAGUCUAGACUACACCAGUUGGUAUCAGAGCCUCUCGGUUUUGAUUUCUUAAUCAAGCCAGACGAUCUUUUAUUACUUCCGCACAACCUCCUACAAUCCAUAUCUCACCAUCAUCAACGUUGCCACCUCGCAAACAAACACAAGAAGAAUUUCAAGAAGAAAUUCGUACUACCCUAGAAACAUUCACCACGGGUUUACACGAAACCCUUAUUAAUGUUAUUGAGACCGCCCUAACAACCGUCAUGCAACGACAGCAACAACCUCCAGUUAACCCUGCUAACCGUCGUUCAGCAGAAGACAAUUCUGAUAACGACAUAGCUGAAAACCUUUUUGCCGACGAUAACAAUCAGGUACGUCGUAACCAAGUUCGCAUCGCCCCUCCAGCUGAUCAUCAACUCAAUCGACGAGAAACUCACGCUGAAGAACGACGAUGGGAUUCCGGGUUUCGAGUGGAAAUACCAGAGUUCUCAGGCAACCUCAGCACAGAAGAAUUCUUGGAUUGGUUAUGUGCAAUCGAAGAAAUUCUGGAAUUCAAAAGAAUUCCCGAAGAUCAAUGUGUUCCAUUGAUCGCCUACCGUUUUAAAAGCCGUGCUAUGGCCUGGUGGCAACAGAUUAAAGAAUCCCGACGCCGAGCAGGUAAACCACGCAUUGACACAUGGGAACGUCUUAAAAAGCAUAUGCGCCGCGCCUUUCUGCCCUACAACUACGAAAGAACUCUAUACAACAAACUACAAUCUCUUCGCCAAGGAACAAGAACCGUCGAAGAAUAUGCAACAGAUUUCUUUCACAUGGUGGCUCGUACAACACUCGCCGAAACAGAGGAUCAGCUUGUCUCGCGUUUCAUCGGAGGGCUACGCUUUCAGAUUCAGACCGCAUUGCAACAAUUCAACCCUCUCACCGUCUCUGAAGCUUAUCAACGCGCGUUAGCAAUGGAGAUUCAAUACCGUUCAUCGUGGAACACCGGUAGUAAUCGCACUCGAACAACUACUCCAAAUACUAGCACGUCACCUCCUUCAGAUACAGCCCAAACUCGCCAAACGACAACGCGACCAGUUACUGCAACGAACACGGACUCAAUUGCUCAAUCUCGUCCUGCUCGUACCGGUGCUCUCCGUUGUUUCACGUGUGGUGAAACCGGCCAUAUCCAAUCAGCGUGUCCAAACAAACAUCGACGAGGUCUCUUAAAUCAAGACGUCAAUUUUGAUGAAGAACCAAAGUACGAUACUGAUGAGACAAAAUCGCAAACAGAGGAAGAAACAGAGUUUAUCGCAGGAGACACGGGAGCUCAUGCACUUGUUCUUCGCCGCAACUGUUUAUUACCUCGCGCACCAGAGGAAUCCUGUAAGGCACGCAUGAGCCACUUGCGGCCCUUUUUACACACAAACAAAACCAUCCCACAAGGCACGUUGAGUCAUUAGCAAUGAACAAUAAUGCCAUCGUAAAAAAAACAGUAGCAAAAUCGAUAAAAUAGGAAAGUUCAAAAUAUAGUUGUAAUUUGCACCAUAAGUUUCAAUUGUUUUUCUCAUAGUGCCUUAUGUAAAGAACAGUUUUUAUAAUUAAUACCUAGUACGUACUGUAUAUGUAUUUAGCACAGCAAAGUUAUCACCGGUUCUAAUCUUUUUCUUCGGUUCUUAUAUUCUCCCUCUGAACGAAACUAAUAUCCAAACAUGCAAAGAAUCGGGAGGAUUGGGAAGGUCAAAGAAAAUAACACACGACCGGUAAAUGUGGAAGAAACACGAGAAUAUUGGUGGUUUUGGAGACGGAAGAAAGAGAAACAGUAAACCAAGUCGUCUUACCUAGUGAUAAAAGGACUUCAGUUGGAGUUUUCGUUCUGGUUCCGAGUAGCAUUAGCCACCUAUAGAUAUUUUAAGUGACAAGAUUUCGUGGAAUUAAUCUUUGGAUUUAAAAAGUCUUUGAAAUCCUCAUGAUUAUCAGAAGAAAAAAAACAGUACAAGCAGAGCCAUAAAAAAAGGAAGAAAAGAGAGAAAUAGGAGAGUUUUCGUACGGUAUGGUAGGCGAGAGGCCAUACCGACGACGGAGGUUAAGUCUCAUCCUAAACGGGUUGAGAGAGUUUCACCUUUUGUUUUUACCGUAAAUUCAGUGUACUCCUCAGUAUAGAUAAACAAUGAUAAUAUCCAGAGCGGGCUCUUGAAAGAAGCUGAGGAAGCUGUUGCUUCCGGCCGCCACAAAUUAUCAUAAAUUUCGGUCUUACUUUUACAAAAAAUUCUUAUUAGCAUUAGUGGUUUGGGUGUUGGUUAGAAGGGUUAACCCUCGCGGGUUUGAUUCCCCCUUAAGACAAUAGGCCACAUUUUUAAUUUUUGCUUCUAGUCACAUAAUUUCUAGGACCGGUUCUGGUAAUAUCUAGAUAAUAAAAGUAUAGUGAUCAGUUUAAUCGGAUGUAUUAGGUUGAAGCAAGUACAUCGCAUCAAUUGGGUCGUAUCAAGUGUGUCGCAUAAAGUUGUUAUGGAUCUUACAUGUGAUCGUUGGGCUUAAAGCCGUGUAUCUGAUGAACCCUAGAGUUUUAGGAUGCGGAAUAUUUUUUAUAUAUAUUAUGUAUUCUUGUAAUCCUAAUAUAAAUUGAAUAUUGCCUCCAAAUAACAAAAAAAAUAUUAUUUCUCCACAUAGCCAAAUUGAUGAACCACGUUACAUAUAUUGUUGUGUCUUUGUUACAUCAUUUUAUCAUUUGUUUUAAUGCAACAUUAUGACCAAUCUUAUGCUUUAAGAUUUGAGUUACAGUUAUAAAUAAAGUUUCUAUCAAAAAUACAAGUGAAAUAAUAAAAUCCUAAACACUCCACGUACAGCUUUAUGUUAAUGCUAUACUUUUUGUUUGUAUAUAAACUAUUAUUUAUAUUUCCAAAACCACCAUAGCAAUAUCUUAUUCUUAUUUCUAGAAAUAAACAAUAUUAUCAACUUCACCUAAUUUUGUGUUAGUCAAAUAUUUUUAUUCCCUUUCUUGUUCCUAUUUUUGAAUUAUUAAUUUUAAAAUUAUUAUUUUACAUAAUCUUAUUAGUUGUAAAUUAUUUUUGGAUUGGAAAUAUAUAAAUUAUUUUGUUAUUGAUAUCAGAUAAUAAUAUCAUCAGUAAGUAUAGUUCUUAGAAGAAUAUAUAUUGCAACUUAUUUUUUUGUUAAAAUUUAUUUUUAUACAUAUUAAAAAUAACUUUUUAUUAUUUAUUUAUUUUUACAUAGUUUAAUAUUUUUGUUAUUAAUAAUAAUUCAUUAUUAUAUAUUUAUAUUUAUAUUUAUUUUAUUAAAAACUACUAUGCAAUUUAUACAUCAAAAAUAUUACCAGUCACCAGUUUUACUAAAAUGGUAACCUUGCUUUUACUGCAAAUUAUAGUUUUUACCAUAUAAUUUUUAUUGUACUUAUGUGAACAAAAGUCUUUAAUAUUUGUUUUAGGUGAAGAGAAGUCUCAAAACCAUAGUAUUAACGGGGAAAAAAAACAAAAAUAAAUUUAAAGAAAAAAUCAAAUGUGUGUGGAAAACCAAUGUAACUUUUUUUUUUUUUUGAUAAUCCAGGUAUUUGGACCUUUCACUUAAUCCGACUAUCUCAUCGCGUCCAACCGAAACUGGCGAGGAAGAUCCUGGAGGCCAAACGGAAACCAUGUUAAAUCUGCUGUGACCGGAGCUUGAACUCGUGAUGGCGGGCACCUCAACCGAGGUUCUUUUACCACCAGACCACGAGAUCCGGUUAAACCAAAUCUCAAACAAGUUAUAGUAAAUAUUUUCGACCAAAAAAGUUAUAGUGAAUAUGAAAAUUAAAAGACAUUAGUAUUAAAUAGAAACAAAGAAUCUCAAGAUAAUAAAACAAUAAUAAUUUCGAGAUAGUACCAAAAUAUUAGUAAUAAUUUUAGUGUAACUGGACAUAGGUAAACUUAUGUGAAAAAAAAAAGUCUUUACUUUUUGUCUUUGGUGAACAGAAGUAUUCGAACAUUAAAAUUUACAGAAAAAAAAAAGAAUAAAUUUAGAGACAUACCAAAAAGGAAAAACAAAAGUGGUCACUUUCAAAGCAGAAUAUUGGACACUUAACCGUGUUUAAGGGUUUUGAUGAUUUUUCAAUAUUUUAUUCCCCUAGACAUUAUUAUUUGCAUGUGUCAUUACCACAUGUAUUUCACAAAAACAAUGACAUAGUUUUCAAAAAAUGUGACAUUGCAUUAAGCUGAUUGUGACAUGUAAAAUUUCUUUAUGAAAAUUAUAUUUGGCUAGAAUUUUUAAUAAGGUAAUGACUAUUAAUUCUUAUACCAUUAUUAAACAUUUAAAUUUUAUAUAAUUAUAUUUAUUUUUGGCAAGACUUUUGAAAUAUUUAAUAAUUAAUAAUUUUUAUAUCAUCAUUAAAAUAAAAUAUAAAAUAAACUAAACAUAACUACACAUAACAUUUACAUUAAUUUAUAAAUUAAGAAAAUAAUUUAUAAAUUAAUUAAGAACAUGAUUUUCCAGUAAAAAUAUUUUAACUAUAAUAAAAAACAAAAAAAUUAUUAAAAUUUAGGUAUUUAAAUAUAGACAUAUUUAAUUUGCAUAUGUGUCAUCACCAUAUUCAUUUUAAGAAAAUCACAUGGCUUUUGAAAUUAAAAUAUUAAUUAUAACUGUGUAUUAACAAAUAUAUAACUAAAAAAACACUAAUCAUUUUUUUUGUUAAUGAUUAAUGAGUAAAACAUUUAUUAGGACUUGUCGGUUGAUUAGGUUAAUUAACAAAAACUUUAUGGGCUUCAUGUAUUUAACUAAAAAAAAUAAAAAUGUAAAUUAUUAAAUUUAAUAUAUAUAAAUAUGGACAUACUUAAAAUUAGGAAAUAAGAGAAAUAUUUAAAUUAAAUAACCAAUAAAUAUAAUAAAAUAUAAAUAAAAAAUUUAUUUUUAGUAAAUGUAAUUUUAACUCUACUAAAAUUUAAAUAAAAUAAAAUUGAAAUAGGUAACCAAAUUUGAAUUUUUUCAAAAAAAAUUACAUUUGUGAUUUAUCUUUUUCCAAAUCGGUAAAUUUAAAAUAUAAAAAUAAUAAUAUCAAAAUGUAAAAUAAGUCUUAAAAAUAUUAUAAAGUUACAGUAAAAGUACAGAAAAUAAAAGAAAUACUUUUUUAAAAUAAAAUAAAUACAAUAAGAUGCAAAGCUAAAAUUAGAGAAUAAUACAACACAAAGAUUAAAAUUUGAAGAAGUUUUCUUCUGAAUCAUUUUGCUUCUCAUUAUUCAACACCAUUUAUAUUUGGCUAUCAUUUCUAUGAUAUUUCAAAUUAUUUUUGCAGUUUUGUUUGUUGUAUAAUAUUGUCCAUAUUCCACAUUAGAUCUACAUGUGUUUUUGGAAAAAAAAAUCUAAUUUAUUGAUUCUCUCGAAAGAAAUAUUAAAUGAAAUUGCUAACUUUUAACAAUUCUAAAAUAUAUCUAUACAAUAAAGAAAUUGUAUUUUCAGUGAGGAAUGACCAAUAAACAUAUUGAAUUGUAAACAUAUAAUAAUUUUUUGGUCGCAUCACUUCUAUACCCAUGAGUCCAUGACAAUGAACACUAUAGUGACUUCCAUGGUAAUUGUUUUCACAACAAAGUUUUUUUUUUUUUUUGCUAAACUGUGAAUAUUCAUAUAAUGAAAAGUUUAGGGUUACAAAAGCCUAAUUAGUGAAUACCUUGGCAAAAAGAAAGAAAAAACAAGGUAUACACAUAGUUUUCGAUUAGAGAAACAUGUUUAUCUAAUCCAAAGUUGCAUAAGGGGGUUGAACUUCCUCCUAUGUCUUCUCGCACUGAUUGUGUUGCGGAUAUCCCUGUCAAUGCUGUUGAAAGUCGUUUGAGGAGGUGUGAACCCUGAGUUGUGCACGGCUGAGUUCCUUUGCCUCCAGAUGUUAUAGAGAACGGCUUGGGUCGCAAGGUUCCUGAGGGUUGACGGUGCUGAAGCAAAGAGUUCCUUUGCCUCCAGAUAUCGAGACUCUAUCUCUUUGGGUCACAACAAAGUUGUUAAGAUGAGUUCCUUACCACUUACUCCUAGUUUCUAAACAAUUAGAUUAAGUUGCUCACCUCCUAUCUCAGUUUCGAAUGCAAGACUCACAUGCUUCACCGACGCGGCCUGGAACUCUGCCUCUCGUAAAGCAGGAGGUGGCUGGUACUGCAUUGAUCAUGAGAAUGUUGUUAUCUUGCAGGGUGCCCGAGUCUUUGAGCGUAUUUCCUCUCCACUAAUGGCGGAAGCCAUAGCCAUCCGAUCAGCUCUCAUCCAUGCUCUUGAAGCUGGAAUCACAGAAAUCUGCAUAAAAUCAUAUUGUGAAGCACUUAUUGCUGCUAUGUCUCCGAAACGUUUUCCGGCGGAUCUCUACGGAAUCUCCCGAGAUAUCGAGACUCUAUCUCUUUGCUUCCUUUGUAUUUCCUUUUGUUUUAUCCCGAGGAACCUGAACUCUAGAGCCAAUUCCUUGGCUAAGUCUUUAUUAAACUCUUCUCCCACCAACUAGUUUGGUCAGGGUAGCAUUUACAAUAUUUGGUGUUCAAAAAAAGAAGAAGAUUGAGUUGCUUGACAUCGAUUAUAGACACAUAGUCUAUCCCGGAGAUUUCAAGAGCUGAUUGGAAAGGAAAAAAUUGAACUUUCAAUCCGCCUUAAAAAAAAUCCUCCUCUCAACAAAAGGAAAGUACAAAAGAUAGAGAAGCAUCGAGAGACUGAUCAUGCUUUGAUCAGAUUAGGGCUUGAGUAAUCUAGGACUUCUCCUUUAAGAUUACCAUUAACAUCGCAUGGAGAGAACGGUUACUCCCGUACAAACUUAUCUAUGUAUCUAUUGUUUAUAGCAUUAAAACCUUCUUUUUUCCUUAUUCGAUCAAAAAAUGUUUUGAUGCUAUAAAAAAAAUAAAACAAUUUAAUAAAAUGAUGAUAAUAAAAUAAUUCAAGAAAAAUAACUAACAAAAACAAUUGUUAAUUAUGGUGUGAUUAAUAUACAAAUUUACUCAAGACUGUAUACUAUCUGUUAUAUAUAACUGCAUGUACUUGUAAAAUUGUUAAAUAACCAUAAUUAUGAAAAUAAUAGAUAAAGAACAAUUUGUAAAAGCAAUGGAUUAAAAGAUUAAGUUAAAGUUGAAAUGUUGAUAAAUACAUAUAAAACAUUGGUUCGCCUUUACUAUUAGUGAAGUAUGAGUUAAGAAAUUUUUUUAACAAAAACAAAAAAAACUUUUUAAAACCAACACCACAAAAAUAAAACAUUUAAUAAAUAUGUAUAUUUUUAAUUUUAUAUUAAAUAAAUGCUCAAAGCCAAGGUUUAUUUUUCGAUUUAGUAGGCACGGCACCUAGUAAUAAUUCGUUCGUACGAGUUCAAUAUCUCCUCACUCUCUAUCUCGACUCUAUAUAAACUCUCUCGCGUCUUCACAUUUCCCACACAGCUUACAAAACAUGUCUUCUUCGUUUCUCUCCUCCACUGCUUCCUUCCUUCUUGUUCUUCUCUACAUUGGUUCCUUCCACGAGUCCGAUGGAGCUCAACAAGGAACAUACAUCGUUCACAUGGCGAAAUCUCAGAUGCCCUCGAGCUUCGACCAACACUCUCUCUGGUACGAGUCCUCUCUCAAGUCUGCCUCAGAAUCUGCUGAAAUGCUCUACACUUACAACAGCGCAAUUCAUGGAUUCGCCACUCGGCUUACUCCUGAAGAAGCCGACUCGCUGAUGACCCAACCCGGUGUCAUCUCGGUUCAACCAGAGCAGCAGUACGAGUUACACACCACUCGUACUCCACUGUUCCUCGGCCUCGACGUACACAACGCGGGCCUAUUCCCUGAAACCGGCGCAGCCAGUGACGUCGUCAUCGGAGUUCUCGACUCAGGUGUUUGGCCAGAGAGCAAAAGCUUCUCCGACGAAGGGUACGGUCCUGUUCCGACUACAUGGAAAGGCGAAUGCGAGGCUGGGACUAAUUUCACAGCUUCCCACUGUAACCGCAAACUAAUCGGAGCUAGAUUCUUCGUUCACGGUUAUGAAGGAAAGUAUGGACCAGUGGACGAAUCCAAAGAGUCGAGAUCGCCUAGAGAUGACGACGGUCACGGAACACACACAGCUUCAACCGCGGCUGGAUCCAUCGUGGAAGGAGCUAAUCUUUUGGGCUUCGCUAACGGGACGGCUCGUGGGAUGGCUUAUCGCGCUCGAGUGGCUGUUUACAAAGUUUGUUGGAAACCUAAAUGCUUCAGCUCAGAUGUUUUAGCUGGAAUCGAUAAAGCCAUCGAAGAUAAUGUCAACGUUCUGUCGUUAUCUCUUGGCAAAAGAAAGAGAGAUUAUACUAACCAUAUUGCCAUGGGAGCAUUCUCGGCCAUGGAAAAAGGGAUCUUUGUUUCCUGCUCUGCUGGUAAUGAUGGUCCCAGCCCUUCCAGUUUAUCGAAUGUAGCUCCAUGGAUUACUACUGUUGGUGCUGGUACCAUAGAUCGUGAUUUUCCGACACUAGUGACUCUUGGCAACGGGAAGAGUUAUAUUGGAGCUUCCUUGUUUAAAAAAGAUGCUCUUCCGCCUAAACUGUUGCCGUUUGUUUACGCCGGGAGUGCUAGUAACAAUGCUACUUAUGGAAAAUCUUGUCUCUCCGGAACACUAAUUCCGGAGAAGGUAUAUGGGAAGAUCGUGAUGUGCGAGAAAGGAGAGAAUGGUAGAGCUGAGAAAGGAGAGGUGGUGAAAGCUGCUGGUGGAAUCGGAAUGAUUCUGGCGAAUAGGGCGAGUAGGGGAGAAGAGCUUGCGGCGUAUGCUCAUGUGUUACCGGCUACAAAUGUGGGACAAAAAGCCGGUGACAUUAUCAGGCGCUACGUUAUGACGGAUCCGAAUCCGACCGUUUCGAUUGUGAUCCAAGGAACGGUCGUCAACGUCAAGCCCUCUCCUGUGCUUGCAGCUUUUAGCUCGCGAGGACCUAAUCCCAUAACGCCAAACAUUCUCAAACCGGAUUUGAUAGCUCCUGGAGUCAAUAUCCUCGCCGCAUGGACCGGAGCUCUGGGACCUUCCGGGCUAGCUUCUGAUACACGCCGCGU
rnacentral:lncRNA from 1 species